ACGAAGGAGUUUUGGCGUUUGCGUUCCGCUAGGGUUUCCCCCCAGCUCCGUCACCUUCCCUCGCGCUCGCCGGGAAAAUGGCACGGGUAUAUGUUGGUAACCUGGAUUCUCGUGUUACGGAACGAGAUCUCGAGGACGAGUUUCGCGCGUUUGGAAUUAUAAGAAGUGUAUGGGUUGCCCGAAGACCGCCAGGAUAUGCUUUUAUUGAUUUUGAUGACCAUAGGGAUGCACAAGAUGCGAUCCGUGAGCUAGAUGGUAAAAAUGGCUGGAGGGUUGAGCUCUCUCAUAACUCUAGUGGUGGUGGACGUGGUGGUGGACGUGGUGGUCGAUCUGGCGGUUCCGAUUUGAAGUGCUAUGAAUGUGGCGAGCCUGGGCACUUUGCUCGGGAGUGCCGCCUGCGUGUGGGUUCACGAAGACGUCGAAGUCGAAGUCGCAGUCGCAGUCGCAGUCCAAGAUACCGCAGGAGCCCAAGUUAUGGUCGAAGGAGCUAUAGCCCACGCGGUCGAUCUCCAAGACGUCGCAGCGUGUCUCCUCGGGGUCGCAGCGUGUCUCCUCGUGGUCGCAGCGUGUCUCCUCGUGGUCGCAGCUAUAGCAAGUCACCCCCGUACCGUGCCCGUGAGGAAGUGCCAUAUGCUAAUGGCAAUGGUCGUGAUCGUCGCCGAAGCAGGAGCUGAAUGGUGCAAGCUAAAAAAUGUGGUUUUGUCUGGAUCAUAUCUGGAUUAAGUGUGUUUAGUAGUUUGGACUUGGUACAACUUUGUUUUAGUCGGGCCUCGCCCUCAGCCUCACCUCUUCGAUUUGGAUAAGUUCUCAUUACUGAGUAUCUUCUGGGUUUGCUUCAUUGGUUUUAUGCUCCUGCACUUCCACGGGAUUUCGAUCUUCGCUGCGCUUUGUGCUUCUGCACUUCAGCGGGAUUUGAUUCUUCGCUGCCUCGCCAUGGGAUCUUCAAUUUUUGAAUGAUUGUGGGUCCCGGCCGGCUUCGUCUAUAGAUGCGUCCCUUUUGUCUUUCUCCAGAUCGAUUCAUGCUUCUCAAAUUCUAUUGGCACUUAAUAUAGUUAACUAGAAGGUUUGAGGAGCUGCAUCAAACUCUUCUAUCAGGUAAUUAUAUUUGUUUUACCAGAGCAUGGAAUAGUGGUUUUAUUUUUCAGGUAAUGGGGUAUCACUUCAUAUUGAAAUUAAGGCAAUUAAAUGUUUUCCUUAGCUGUCAGAAUUGGAGCAUGAUCUUUUCUACAUAUUUUUUUGGUUUCGACACAGCUGUCUUUGAUUCUAAUUUUAUAAUGUUUCUUUAACUAAAUUGUGAUUUUCUUCCAAAAUUGAACACUCGCUGCUUUGUCAACCACGAGACCUGAGGGCCCGACUACAGAAUGAUCUCCACUUCGUCGAUUGGCUUCCUAAUUGAUUGAGAUUCGUCUACGUGAUAGUCAUUUCAAUUUCUUCGGCGUCGUCUUCGUACAAAGCAUACGUUUGAUGCCUAUGCUGCUGAGAGCUGCUAUCUGUGUCGCCAUAUUCUCUUUAGACAAGUUAUCUUAACAAGCUCUGCCUCGUCAAGCUUAGAUGGACUAUCUACUUUGGGUUCCUUCAAAGCAUAAUCAUUGAUAUGGGCCUCACAUCGGGUUGAGUCGCUGUAUAUUCGUCCUAGGAAAGUUUGAACCGACUUCUUUCUCCUUGGUGGUGAAAGCAUACUUCAAGAGUUUGACUGCAGGGAUUUAUGUCAUUAUCGAGUGGCACUCUUUUCAGUGUAAUCUUUCUGAAUGGCUUGACCCGGUACUUAUGUGUAGCUGGAAUUUUCACCUCUAUACUUGCUUAAUUGAUCUCUGGUCUGCCA